CAGCCGCCGCGGUAAUACGAAGGUCCCGAGCGUUGUUCGGAAUCACUGGGCGUAAAGGGAGCGUAGGCGGCGUGGUAAGUCAGAUGUGAAAUCCCGGGGCUCAACCCCGGAACUGCAUCCGAUACUGCCAUGCUAGAGGAUUGGAGAGGUAGCUGGAAUUCUUGGUGUAGCAGUGAAAUGCGUGGAGAUCAAGAGGAACACUCGUGGCGAAAGCGAGCUACUGGACAAUAACUGACGCUGAGGCUCGAAGGCCAGGGUAGCGAAAGGGAUUAGAUACCCCGGUAGUCCCUGUCUCUUAUAU
rnacentral:rRNA from 1 species